UAUUGGAUAAAAAUACUGAUAUUAUUGUUUUAUGUAAAAUCACAAUUAAAUAUCGAAGCUAAAGAAUGGAAAAUAAUUUUCUGUAUUAUCGUAACAAUAUUUAUUUUGUAUAUAAAUGAAACGAUAUUUUACGAGAUAAAAAUUUCGAUUUGACAAAGAAUUUUCUGUGUUCGUGUACUUCAACAGAAAUAAUUUUUUUCCCCCGUUGGGACGAAACAAAAGGAUCUUUUAUCAUGUUAAAUUGAGAGAUACGUGUUCCUGAUAUUAUCGAUUCUUUGAUACAUCCUUUAUGUCAAAUCGAACGAUAAAGACCGAUUAGAUAAGCAGAAACUUUAUCGAUUCCACCAUUGUACCCUUGAGUGCAUUUUAACUAACGAAGGUAAAACGCUGCAUUAACGAUGAUGGGAACAGGAUAAAACGUUUUGCUGAUAAUCAACGUGCCAUAUUUGAUAAAUCAAAAGUGAACAGAUUCUCGAUACAUCGUAUAAAGUGCUUUCAUUCCAAAUUACUUCACUUUUGUGUAAAUUUCCAUGAAUUUUAAAAAUUUCAGAAAGUAUUCAAAAAUUUUUAAUCUAUGCAGAAGACUUUAAAAAUUCCUCCACAAGAAUCUAAUAAAUCUAAUAAAAUCUAAUAAAAUCUAAUUCUUUAAUAACAACAAAUCAUAUGAUUACACCAGAAGAAGAACCAGAUGAUGAAAUCAACAUCAAACCAUGACGUUUCCACGUUUCCCUUGCGACGACUUACAAUUAGAACCUUUCACGGAAUGUCAGCAUCGUUUCAAUGUCAUAUCCUUUCAAAAUGAUGACUCACGAUACCAGCGAAUCUUUGUAUAAAGGCCGGUCUGCAGCUCAGGAUUCCACAGUCCUUCGAAUCCGGAUUAAACGGUGGGGUUUGCGCUCUCUCCUUCUCCGUCCUGUGCCGCCAACAAGAAAAACGCUUUAAGAAUCUUCUGCAAAAUCUUUUGUAGGAUAUUUUGGUAUUGAACGGAGGAACGAAGCGAGAAGCACGUAUGUGACUCGAUUAAUCCUUUAACCAGCAGACAAAACGAUAUAAAGAGAUUGUUAAUAUUAUUUUUAAAAUUAUAAUGUAGUUGAGUGUAAUGUAAUCUUGUUCAAUUUUAAUUUUUAUGAAAAUUGAAUAAUGUUAUUGUAAAUUUAUUUAAUAUAAUAAAUAUUGUGAUUAAAAAUAAGAA